UUAAUGUAACUGAUAGAUCAGAUCAGCUGGUAUAGUAGAUUUUGACUCAAUUAAAAAGCACGAUUUUGUCUUCAUGGGCUGUGACACUGAUAGUGUCUUUGUUCUGUUUCAUGGGCUGAAUGGAGGUUAACUGAUUUGGACAUACUCAACAGAGACCAAAACACAACGUUUGUUCCCUGAGGUCCAGCAUUAAAAUGUCGCCUGUUCACGCUGCCUGUGCUUUGCUAUUUGCUGCACCCCUGCUGGUGCUCAGUGUUCCUCCUAUUUGGACCCAGCCAGAACAGGUGCACCUCUCCUA